UCCAUAGGUGAACCUGCGGAAGGAUCAUUACCACACCGAUCCAAUACCCACCCACUGUGAAGCAGAAUGUGUGUUGGGGGAUGUAAUACUCUCCCAACCUGUUUUUCUUUUCAACCAUUUUUACAAACGAACUUUCUAUUCAACCGUAAAAGACAGAUUGGGGCUCUUUCUCAAUGGGAGAGACCCAAGCAAAAAACGAACCAAUUUACAACUUUCAGCAAUGGAUGUCUUGGUUCUCGCAACGAUGAAGAACGCAGCGAAAUGCGAUACGUAAUGUGAAUUGCAGAAUUCCGUGAAUCAUCAAAUCUUUGAACGCAUGUUGUGCUUCCGGGUACUCCUGGGAGCAUGCCUGUUUGAGUGUCUGUUCUCCCCACUCGCGUUUUCUUCCUGCUUCGAGAGGAGUUUUGGGAAUGUUUCGCGGACUGUGGUCUUCCGUCGAGGGUGUGCAAACAACCUCGUCGACCCAAGUGGAGAGACGACGCGAGCCUCUCUCGAACGUACUGCUCCUUACAGGGUAGUGCGGGUCGAGGGUACGACGCCUCGAGUCAACGCCCUAACCAACGUGGUGCGACGCAAGUCAAAACAAUGUCGGGAUACCGGUGCACUGACGCAACGAGAACGUUUAGACAAUGCGCUCCCGAAUCGUCCGGCCCUCUCGCCUCGGCGAGAGAAUCCAGUUAACGCCUUUUUGUGAGGCACUUGGCUGAAAAACCCAACCAUUCGGACCUCAAAUCAAGCAAGAGGACCCGCUGAAUUUAAGCAUAUCAAUAAGCGGAGGA
rnacentral:rRNA from 1 species